UAGCACAAAGGGGAGCCGAAGCUCCCCUUUGAAUACUGUUGCGUGCUUUAUUGUUAUUAGUCGCUCAGGCGUUGCUGUUUUUGUUGUUCGCCUGUUCCAUCGGGCCGUAGCCGUUAGGAGCACUCCACACUGGGAGCUAAUAGCAAACGGAUUUCUUUGGUCGCUGACUUUGCCUUGAUCUUCGAUCCAACCAGUGCGGGCCCUGCUGAUGCAGUU
rnacentral:misc_RNA from 1 species